GAUGAAGAACGUAGCGAAAUGCGAUAAGUAAUGCGAAUUGCAGAUUUCAGUGAGUCAUCGAAUCUUUGAACGCACAUUGCGCCCGCCAGUAUUCUGGCGGGCAUGCCUGUUCGAGCGUCAUUUCAACCAUCAAGCCCCCGGGCUUGCGUUGGGGCCCUGCGGCUGCCGCAGGCCCCGAAAAGCAGUGGCGGGCUCGCUGUCACACCGAGCGCAGUAGCGAUUCUCGCUCCGGGCGUCGGCGGCGGGCACCGGCCGUGAAACCACCCCACAUCCACAAGGUUGACCUCGGAUCAGGUAGGAAUACCCGCUGAACUUAAGCAUAUCAAUAAGCGGAGGA
rnacentral:misc_RNA from 1 species